rnacentral:rRNA from 1 species
GUAGGGUGCGAGCGUUAAUCGGAAUUACUGGGCGUAAAGCGUGCCCAGGCGGCGGCCCAAGUCAGGUGUGAAAUCCCCCGGCUCAACUGGGGAGGGUCAUUCGAUACUGAUCGACUCAAAGCCAGGAGAGGGAAGCGGAAUUCCCGGUGUAGUGGUGAAAUGCGUAGAUAUCGGGAGGACCCCCAGUGGCGAAGGCGGCUUCCUGGCCUGUUCUUGACGCUGAGGCGCGAAAGCUAGGGGAGCAAACGGGAUUAGAUACCCUGGUAGUCCACGCCGUAAACGAUGGAUGCUAGCCGUCGGCAAGCUUGCUUGUCGGUGGCGCAGCUAACGCAUUAAGCAUCCCGCCUGGGGACUCCGGCCGCAAGGUUA